rnacentral:rRNA from 1 species
CGGCGAGUGAAAGAGGGAAGAGCUCAAAUUUAAAAUCUGGCGGUCUAAGGCCGUCCGAGUUGUAAUCUAGAGAGGUGUUUUCGUGCCGGACCGUGUACAAGUCCCUUGGAACAGGGCGUCAUAGAGGGUGAGAAUCCCGUCCAUGACACGGACUACCGGUGCACUGUGAUACGCCUUCGAAGAGUCGAGUUGUUUGGGAAUGCAGCUCAAAAUGGGUGGUAAAUUCCAUCUAAAGCUAAAUACAGGCGAGAGACCGAUAGCGAACAAGUACCGUGAGGGAAAGAUGAAAAGAACUUUGGAAAGAGAGUUAAACAGUACGUGAAAUUGUUGAAAGGGAAACGCUUGAAGUCAGUCGCGUCCGCAGGGACUCAGCCUUGCUUUUGCUUGGUGCACUUCUCUGUGGAUGGGCCAGCAUCGAUUUUAGUCGCCGGAAAAGGGCGGGAGGAAUGUGGCAGCUUGCUGUGUUAUAGCCUCUUGUCGUACACGGUGGCCGGGAUCGAGGACUGCAGCACGCCUUAUGGUCGGGGUUCGCCCACGCCACGUGCUUAGGAUGCUGGCGUAAUGGCUUUAAACGACCCGUCUUGAAACACGGACCAAGGAGUCUAACAUGCCUGCGAGUGUUUGGGUGUAAAACCCAGGCGCGUAAUGAAAGUGAAAAGUUGGGACUCUUUAGUGAGGCACCGACGCCCGAUCCUGAAGUUCUCUGACGGAUUUGAGGCAGAGCAUGUAUGUUGGGACCCGAAAGAUGGUGAACUAUGCCUGAAUAGGGUGAAGCCAGAGGAAACUCUGGUGGNAGGCUCGUAGCGAUUCUGACGUGCAAAUCGAUCG